UCAAAAUAGUUAACAAUUUGAUUUUAUUUGUUUACAUAAUCAGUUAGGCAUUUAUGUAUAUGUUCAGCCGCUAAUUAUUUCUUUUAGAUAACGGGUUUUUUGAGUUCUGAAACUAGAAUUAAUUUGGGUAUUAUAAAUUUUCAUGUGUAAUUGUAGUUUCAAAAAGUACGUGUGAGUGGUAAUUUUCCCCCCGUAUAACUUCUCCAAGUUACAGAAACGCCGACUGUCACGUGUCAUACCCGUGACGACGAAUCCUCACUCUUCUCCCGUGCUUUCUUAUGUGACAGAUCAGAUAUUACACAAAACAUCUUCCUCAAGGGGGAUGUCGCUUGCGCAUUUUAUCGAACAGUUUCUGCGCACGGAGAAAAGCUACGAGUGAAUAGAUCGUUCUUCGUUAGCCGAUGAGGAAUGUCGUCGUUAUUGCUCUCUUCCAUCGCCUCCAUGUCUCGCUGCUUCGGAUAAAAGAAGGAAUUGUGAGUGAGUAUCACGAAAACAAAUAGUUUCGGCGUUUGAGUGUAGUGGAGUGGAGAUACCAGCCUAUUGAUGUUGUUGGAGGCCUUAGUUAUAUAUCAUGUCUUCUAUUGCUGUUUAAUUGUAGUGGAGAUACCAGCCAUUUGGUUCUUUGGAAUCCAUCUUUUUGGAAUAUGUUGAUCAUGUAUAUCAUAUGGCAAAAAACUCACCUGGAAUUGUAACCAUGAACAUGAUUUAUUUGAUUCCGGAUGGGCUUCUGA